AGAGGUCACACCCGUUCCCAUAUCGAACACGGAAGUUAAGCUCUUUAGCGCCAAUGGUAGUUGGGACUUUGUCCCUGUGAGAGUAGGACGUUGCCAGGC
rnacentral:rRNA from 1 species